rnacentral:ncRNA from 2 species
UGAACAGAUAGAGGUGCGGCAACGAACAGUAGCCCUGAGUAAGAACGUGCGUAUCCCGAACGUGCGGCUCUGCGGCAAAAGGCAAUGCCGCCGAAGCUCAGCGCACGGGGAGCUGCUGCUGACCGCCUGCCGAACAGGUUUGCGGUUGUCAUCAUGCUUUGUGAUGGAGUGCUAUCGGCAUU